CAGAAAAUAGUUUAAUAAAAAUGCUAGUUUUGGGAAUUGGCGAUGAAAGGUUGCUUUUUUUUCUGA
rnacentral:tRNA from 1 species